rnacentral:snRNA from 1 species
GUGCUAGCUUUGGCAGCACGUACACUAAAAUGGGAAAGAUACAGGGAUGACUAGCAUGGCCCCUGCCCAAGGAUGCCAUGCAAAUUCAUGAAUUGGCCCAUUAAAAA